UUUUUACCAAACAAACAUAAUAAAAUUUAUUUUUCACUACAAUUAUUUUUUUCGAUAAAUGAUUCCUAAGAAUUGACGGAUUACUCCAUAAUCUAAUAUAUCCCAACCAAAUGAACCCAUUAGAUUUUAUUAUCUCCGAGUGAUUUGGAAACUUUUCAGCUUUGGAAAAUUAUUAUUGAUCCCUUGAUCUUUUUCUAAAGAACUAAUUGCCAGUUCCAGCUAUCCGAAGUUAUAAACUGUCAAUAGUCCGACGUUGCAGCGAACUUCUCCAGAAACAAAGAGAUAAACCUCCUCUCGAACAGCCUAUCAAUCUCAUUAGACUCCUCAGAGCUACUUGUUUGUUGAUUUCACCCACCUUGUUGAGGCCGACAAGAUGCCUACACAAGUACCAAAUUACAAGAAAUCCAUAAGAAACCAAGCAACCAACUCAAAUUCCAAUUUACAAAGGUCCUUGUAGGCGUAACUCGCCAUGACAGGAGCAGUUGACAGG
rnacentral:lncRNA from 1 species